GCAGGACUGGGUUGUGUGUUGGAGCUGGGAAGUACUUGGAUUAAAGGUUCAGAAGUAAAUUACCACAAAAAUGCAGAUGGAACCUGUAAUACUUGCUUCCACAUCAUUCAUCCAGCGGUUUGGGAGCUGCAGAUCAGCAUGUGAAAGACAGCAGUUAAAAUACAGAGCCCGUUCCUAUCUCCGCCACUCUGCACUGGUGUAAAUCAAGGCUAAGACUCAUGAACCCAAUGGAGUGUAAAAUUGAGCAAGACCUAAUGAAACAAGAAGUGGCUGUGAAGCUCAUCGGAAAAGAAAAUAAGCAUUCUCAUAGAAAUUGUGAGUCCUUUGCAAGGAGGAGAGAUGCACCUAUUGGGAUUGCUUAUCUGGGAGAAUUUGGCCUUUGUCCUCUCUCUGCUUGCUCAUCAGACACAUUGCCCAGCCUGUUGGCCACGUGCCUUAGCCAUGGUGCUGCUUGGGACCUGCAAAGCACUGGAGCAGAGCUGUGCUGCCCACCUGCAGCCUGCAUGCAGGGAUGCAAAAGGAGCAUUUAGUCAUCUAAUGCUAUAAUGCUUUUCCUAUUUCACAAAAGUAUUGAAUGUGCAGGACUUAAGGCAUUAAUUCUUGGCCCCUUGGUAUGUGCUAACUACAGCCAAACUCCUGAAGGGCAUCUUCAGAGCAGCUGUCAGAAAGCCAUGGAGCUGUGUGUCACCCAGACCAGCAUAUGUAGGACUCCUCAU
rnacentral:lncRNA from 1 species